rnacentral:lncRNA from 1 species
CUUUCCCUGCACCGUCCCCGCCCGUGACCCAGCAGCCUCUGCAAGUCUGGCCUUGCUGGGCCUGCAGCAUGGCUCCCCACCGCCGGUGCGGCCAGGCGAGACACCUUUCUUGGCAGCACUCUCCAGGGCUCCCGGAAUGUCUGAUUACUCACAGGCUUGCGACAGCACGGAGGUCUCCAGCGCGUAGGGAGGCAGCUGUGGCUUCCUUCCCGAUGACCUCAGCCCGUGGGGAUCCUCACCAAGGCUGUAGAAAAAGAAUCUUUUAAGAGCGUUAUCUAUCUAUCGACGCACGUUCAGGCCCUGACGGUGACCUGGAGCUGCGCUGCCUCUCCAUCACCCAGGAAAUGACAGGGUCGCGAGGAGUCUGAAGCGCCUCCCAGUUCUGCCCGUGGAUUCCUGACCAUUGUCUGGAUUUGGUAGGCUGGAGCGGGUCCAUGUC